rnacentral:rRNA from 1 species
GUGGGGAAUAUUGCACAAUGGGGGAAACCCUGAUGCAGCGACGCCGCGUGAGUGAAGAAGUAUUUCGGUACGUAAAGCUCUAUCAGCAAGGAAGAAAAUGACGGUACUUGACUAAGAAGCCCCGGCUAACUACGUGCCAGCAGCCGCGGUAAUACGUAGGGGGCAAGCGUUAUCCGGAUUUACUGGGUGUAAAGGGAGCGUAGACGGUAUGGUAAGUCAGAUGUGAAAGCCCGGGGCUCAACCCCGGGACUGCAUUUGAAACUAUCAGACUAGAGUGCAGGAGAGGUAAGUGGAAUUCCUAGUGUAGCGGUGAAAUGCGUAGAUAUUAGGAGGAACACCAGUGGCGAAGGCGGCUUGCUGGACUGUAACUGACGUUGAGGCUCGAAAGCGUGGGGAGCAAACAGGAUUAGAAACCCGGUAGUCC